rnacentral:ncRNA from 1 species
CGGGGGUUGGAUUCAUGAUGCUGUGGCCCCCGUCAGCGUUGAACUGGUGAUCACGGGGAUCUCCAUACACCAGUCGGUACAGCCGCGUCACUACUAAAGUAGGCCGCUAGGGGAUGCCCGCAUUGCUCCUAGCGCUCCGAAUUUUAUGCGUAGUGUCGCGCUGCACGCCGUGGAGGGGUGAAGCAUGUUGGACUUGCUUCAGAAGGUGCGGAACGCCG